rnacentral:rRNA from 1 species
UACGUAGGGGGCUAGCGUUGUCCGGAAUCAUUGGGCGUAAAGCGCGUGUAGGCGGUUCGGUAAGUCCGCUGUGAAAGUCGGGGGGCUCAACCCUCGGAUGCCGGUGGAUACUGUCGGACUAGAGUACGGAAGAGGCGAGUGGAAUUCCUGGUGUAGCGGUGAAAUGCGCAGAUAUCAGGAGGAACACCGAUUGCGAAGGCAGCUCGCUGGGACGUUACUGACACUGAGGCGCGACAGCGUGGGGAGCAAACAGG